UAAGGUCUUAGCUUAAUUAAAGCAGCUGAUUUGCAGUUAGUAGAUGUAGGUCAAGGUCCUGCAGAUCUU
rnacentral:tRNA from 1 species